AGUUUCUACUCUAGACAGAUGGGAUGAGACCACGCCUGGCAUCAUGCUUGCAAUUUCUAGGUCCCUUGAGACAAGAGAUGAGGAGAGAUGAACUCAAAGGAAAGAAGCAAAAAUGACUGUGAGACUGAAGUCCCCUUCAUUCCCUGCCCAGGCAGAACCCUCUGCUACCUUAGUCCUGCCACAUCAGACCUAGACAUUUCUGCUGCCAGAGCUAUUAUUGUUCGAUUAACCUUGUUGGAUCUGCUUCUAGGAAAAACCCUAACAAAGCACAUACCACCAUCUAAAGAGCAGGCAGCCAGAAAAGAGGGUGGCUUGUUUUACUGGACUCUGCAUAACACUUUGUUUUGGUUGACACUAAGAAUUCUGGACGUGUAAAUGAAUAUGACUGCUCUGCCAGGCCUUGCAUGCAGAAAGUGAGAUUCACAUAGCUGGCUCUGGUUUUGCGUGUCCUUGCAGCCUGGUCUGUGCUGUGCACAUAUGCAGCACUGGGUUGCAGCCCUCUCCUCACUUCCCCCAGAUGUAAACUGGCUGUGUCUGGCAUAUGGGAUCCUGGAGCAGCAGAGGGUCUCUGCUAUUCUGCGGAUGGAGGUGGGCCAUCUGGACGGGCCCUGUUGCUCCCCUGCCCAGGACUGCACCUCCUCCUCUGUCAUGCAGUGUUGUUAGUCCUCUCACAUGCUGGGGGAGAAUAUGCUUGAGAGGCUGGAGUAUAUCAUCUACCUGCAGGAAGCGGGAGUAUACACGGGGACAGCAGUCCUCAGUGUUGAUACUCCAUAGCAUCAUGGGUGUGUGUGUAUGUGCAGUGAAAGAGAUUCCUCCACGUAGCCCUGGUCAUAUUGGCCUCUUCUACUAGCAGCCCCAAA
rnacentral:lncRNA from 1 species